GCCAUUUAGCUGUUUUGUAUGCCAAGAAAGUCAUAGCCCUGCAUGAAUGCUUGUGGCUCUUCUUCAAAGGCUCUGCUUCAGUUCAGACAAUCAAAGCUGAUGAGGACUGCCCCUAAUGUGCACUUUUGUUUUCUAACAUAGCCUCUUUGGAAAAUAUGAUGUUUCAAUAUUGGCCAGUCAGUUGGUCUGUCAUUUUUGGUUGGCCUCUUCUGUUGUAACAUGAUGAUACCGUUUUUUUUCUUUGUUUUUCAUCAGCUCUCAGAUGGAUCAGGAUACAAAGUGCUGAAUUCCUCCCAGACCUUUGGGUCCCAUUGGGAUCUCCUCUCUGCUGGUCUACGUAUUCCACAUUUGAGGUUUCCUUCCAGGCAGUUUUCAGCAUCCUCUGUAGAGCUGCACCCCUGGCUUAUUGGAAAGAUUCGAGUGGUUCUUUAAACCAAGACCUUCACAAUGCCUUAAUGGAUCAGAAAUAUUGUUUAUACUGUAAAUCUCUAAAUAUCUUGACAAUGUGUUAUAUUAUCAGUGGCAUAUCCUUAUGAGUCUGACUUUGUGGUUCCUGCAUAGCAUUUAAUAAUGAUGUUUCUGAUGGCUAGGUGUGUAAAGAGAGGGCAGCAGGGGCAGAGAUUUAUGUGGCUCCGAGAAAGACACUUCUAAGGAAAGCAGUCUUUAUAUCUUCAUGGGCAUAUUGGCUCCAGGAGUUGUGAGUCUUUCUUACAUACUGUAACUCAAGGCUGAACAACUGUUACUUAAUGGUACAGAAUCUGCAACAAGAGUGUUUUCAGUGUUCAUGUCCGGCCCAAACAUAAGUCACAUUCUAUGAAUUUGGAUUUUUUUUUGCUCUGCAGCAACUGACUACUUGGCGUUAGCUGGAGGCAUCCAGGAUCUGACUUCUUCCCCUAGUUAUGUUUCUGCAUCACUGCAUCACUGACCCUGAGUCCAGCGUCCCACCUCGUUAUCUCCUCUCCUGGCUCACCACCGGCUGCUUGCUGAGUGUGGAUGAGUGUAAUUCGGUGAGCAUUUUCUGAUUUGUGGUGGGACUUUGGGACACAUCUGUUAUAAGAAAGAAGAGUUUCUAAGUCACUUGGGAAUUUUUGGAAAAUUUUACUCUUGUUAUUGCAGUUUGGUAAAAAUCUUCUUCCAAAAAGCAAUGUAUUUAGUUACUCCAAACACAGAGAGCAGAAGCUUCAAAAGCAAGGAAAGAGCUCCAGCAUUCUCUAAUCCAGUGGGUUUGGGGCGUGCCAGCAGUCAUGUGUAAUUGUCCUCAAAGGGACACAUGCACCAUGGCUGCGAACUCCUUCAGAAAACUUCCCUCAACAAAUCCUGCCCUCAGAGUCUCCCCUGCAACCUCCUCCCACAUUUGGUAGUGCACGGAGGUAACUUGUCAGAACUUGGUUGGUUGUCUGUGUGCUCAGAAGAUUAUGAAGAGGAUAAAGUG
rnacentral:lncRNA from 1 species